CCCCUUUAGGGGACGAGCACUAAAGUGUUCUUCUUCCCCUUUAGUUCGUCCCCUUUAGGGGAACCAAAGGGGAAGAACUAAAGGGGAACCCCUUUAGUUCCCCUUUAGGGGAUGAACUCCCCUACGGUGUGUUCUUCCCCUAAAGGGGAACCCCCUUCUUCAUCCCCUUUAGGGGAGAAACUAAAGGGGAAGAAAGGGGUGUUCUUCUUCUUCCCCUAAAGGGGACGGAGUCCCCUUUAGUUCCCCUAAAGGGGAUGAAGAAGGGGUUCCCCUAAAGGGGAAGAACUCCCCUACGGUUACCCUUUAGGGGAUGAAGAAGGGGAAGACUUUGGUUCCCCUUUAGGGGAUGAAGAAGACGUCAUCCCCCCCUAGGGUUCCCUUUGGGUUCCCUUGUCUUUUCUGGUCUUAGUCCCCUAGGGUGUCAUACCUUUAGUUCAUCCCCUAAAGGGUUUCCAAAGUUUGUUCCCCUUUAGGGGGAAGACAACCCUAAAAGGGGUUACCAAAGNGGUUGUCCCCUGUCCGCAAAGGGGAAGGGCAUCCCCUUUGUUUUCUUCCCCAUCCCCUAAAGGGGAACUAAAGGGGAAGAAGAAGAGCCCAUCCCUUUAGUUCCCCAUCCCCUAAAGGGAACAAGAAG
rnacentral:lncRNA from 1 species